rnacentral:rRNA from 1 species
CACGUAGGCACCAAGCGUUGUCCGGAUUUAUUGGGCGUAAAGAGCUCGUAGGCGGUUCAGUAAGUCAGGUGUGAAAUCUUUGGGCUUAACCCAAAGCGUGCACUUGAUACUGCUGUGACUUGAGUUCGGUAGGGGAGCGGGGAAUUCCUAGUGUAGCGGUGAAAUGCGCAGAUAUUAGGAGGAACACCGGUGGCGAAGGCGCCGCUCUGGGCCGAAACUGACGCUGAGGAGCGAAAGCGUGGGGAGCGAACAGG